UACGGGGGGGGCAAGCGUUGUUCGGAAUUACUGGGCGUAAAGCGCGUGUAGGCGGCUCUUCAAGUCGAGUGUGAAAGCUCCAGGCUUAACCUGGGAAUUGCGCUCGAUACUGUUGAGCUAGAGUGUGGAAGGGGCUACUGGAAUUCCGUGUGUAGCGGUGAAAUGCUUAGAUAUGACAUAGAACACCAAUUGCGAAGGCAGCUCGCUACACGAAUAUUGACUCUGAGGCACGAAAGCGUGGGGAUCAAACAGG
rnacentral:rRNA from 1 species